UUUGUACACCUAAGCCAAAGAAAAUCUCUCUUCUUUAUUACGCGAUUCACACCUUAUGUUCACACCACACCUCCACCUACAUAUAUAUUCUUCUUCUCUUUUUCUCUCUCUCUCUCUCCUCCAUAGCCAAAAUUAAUUAACACACUCCUCUCAAUAACUUUUUCUACACCUCCUCCUUCCCUUCUUCUUCUCCUUCUUUCCAUAUUUCAUUGGAGUCUCUCACUUUCAAUUUUCAUGGAGGGUCAUCAUCUCCAUCACCAUCAUCGACAACAAAUACAACAACACCAUCACCACCCUCAUAACAUCACAACUAGUGUCAACGUGGAUGUGACGGAUAGGUUCCCCCAAUGGAGCAUCCAAGAGACAAAAGAGUUCCUCGUGAUCCGUGCAGAGCUGGAUCAGACUUUCAUGGAGACAAAGAGGAACAAGCAGCUUUGGGAAGUCAUCUCCAACCGCAUGAAGGAAAAGGGUUACCAUAGAAGUGCAGAGCAGUGCAAGUGCAAGUGGAAAAACCUAGUUACUCGCUAUAAGGGAUGUGAAACGAUGGAGCCAGAGGCGAUGAGGCAGCAAUUUCCGUUUUACAAUGAGCUUCAAGCGAUUUUCACAGCGAGGAUGCAGAGAAUGUUGUGGGCUGAAGCAGAAGGAGGGUCCAAUAAGAAGAAGGGGGUGCAGCAUCUAUCUUCCGAGGAAGAGGAAGAGGGCAAUGAGGAGAGUGAGGGUGAUAUUCAUCACAAGGGUGGUGGCAUGAGCAGAAAGAAGAAGAAGGGCAAGAUGGUAGUUGGUGGAGGAAGUGGUGGUGGUGUUGCCAACAAUAGUAAUUUGGAGAGUUUGAAGGAGAUAAUGGAAGAGUUCAUGAGGCAACAGAUGCAAAUGGAGGCACAAUGGAUGGAGGCAUUUGAGGCAAGGGAGAAUGAGAGGAGGUUGAAGGAGAUGGAGUGGAGACAAACCAUGGAGGCAUUGGAGAAUGAGAGGAUGAUGAUGGAUCAAAGAUGGAGAGAGAGGGAGGAGCAAAGAAGGAUUAGGGAAGAAGUUAGGGCUGACAAGAGAGAUGCUCUAAUCACAGCUUUGCUCAACAAGCUUAGAAGAGAAGAGAUGUAGUAGAUAGUUUGUUUGGUUAGAUAGAUAGGUAGCUUUUAUGUGUCUUUCUUCAUGAAGCAAAGCUUAAUUUAAGAGAGUUCAUAUUCCCCAAUGGUGAUGACAUUGACACUGCAUGUGAGAGAGCUAGCGCAUGAUGAUCAUUUUCCAGCCUCAGGUAUGAACUUGACUUUAAAGUAGCAACACAACACAUUAUUUUAGCCGUGUCUUCUGUGAUAAAUUGAUUUUUAAUCAAUAGAAUAAUUUAAACAUAAGAAAGAAAAGAUCGCACAGAUCAAUGAUAGAAAAAAGGAGACGUUUGUAAUCAAAAUAGAAAAGCUAAGAUUGCAUGAUAACUUUUUGUCUUUAAAUUUGUCUAUGCGUGCGGUGUGUAGGGUAUAUGCAUGUUUAGUUGUUACAUAUCUACGUUAUAGAUCUGUAAAUUUCUUAAUCAAAUCUCUCACAUUAAAACCGAUCGACUUUAGGGGUAGAAUUAUUCUCAAUGACAUGUACUUACACAACUCACUUACACGUAUUUAGUAUUUUCGGAUGUAUGCAGGAACUUGAGUUAAAGAGGAAAUGAAAACAAAAAUCUAAUCACAGUUUAUGGUGGCACAAUUUUGUGGAUUCACUUUGCUUUGUGAUAUUUAUUUCUAAAUGAGAGUUUGUGAAUAAUCAAGUAC